ACCCCUAAGGCGAGGCCGAAAGGCGUAGUCGAUGGGAAACGGGUUAAUAUUCCCGUACUUGGUGUUACUGCGAAGGGGGGACGGAGAAGGCUAUGUUGGCCGGGCGACGGUUGUCCCGGUUUAAGCGUGUAGGUGUGUGUUCCAGGUAAAUCCGGUUCACUUUAACACUGAGGCGUGACGACGAGGCACUACGGUGCUGAAGCAACAAAUGCCCUGCUUCCAGGAAAAGCCUCUAAGCAUCAGGUAACAUCAAAUCGUACCCCAAACCGACACAGGUGGUCAGGUAGAGAAUACCAAGGCGCUUGAGAGAACUCGGGUGAAGGAACUAGGCAAAAUGGUGCCGUAACUUCGGGAGAAGGCACGCUGACACGUAGGUGAAGUGAUUUACUCAUGGAGCUGAAGUCAGUCGAAGAUACCAGCUGGCUGCAACUGUUUAUUAAAAACACAGCACUGUGCAAACACGAAAGUGGACGUAUACGGUGUGACGCCUGCCCGGUGCCGGAAGGUUAAU
rnacentral:rRNA from 1 species